rnacentral:lncRNA from 1 species
GGCGUGAGCCACCGCGCCCGGUGGAAAGGACACUUUUUUACAGUAUGAGCACUGAAACAAAAAGGCAAAGCAAGGUCUGUUCACCUUCAGCUGAGAACGUGAGGAUUGGUUCAGGAGUACAUGCGCAGGUUUGUCAUAUAAGCAAAUUAUGUGGCACAGAAGUUUGGUGUAUGGAUUAUUUCAUCACCCAGGCCGUUUCUCAGCGUUGGAUGUGCAAGCAGUUUUGAGAGAUGAAGUCAUGACUUCAAGACAAAAAAACAGGUUUGCUUAUUUUGCUACAAACCAAUAAGUUCUUCAGCCAUGCUGCAAAUCCACUGUGUAUCCAGUUCCCAUCUGCGGCCCGCACAUCAUCCCCAUGGGACUUGAGAGCAAGAGGAUCCCACGCAAAUCAUGUUGCUUGCUAUGCUAUCCAGGGCUCCCUGGAGAACUGGCUAAUUCUCGGGCAUGGAAUGAAAAAAUACAAGAUGAACCUGGAGAAGCUUUCUGUGUCAGAAAGUAAGAACGUGCUCAAAGAAUGAUGGGACCAUGUGAAAAGGACAUAGGAGUCUGUUUGAAAGGCAUCCCACUGGCCAAAUAUAGGAUAACUCUGAGGAUAAAAAUGUCAGUAAAGAAUUAUAACCCACUGAAAUAAAAAAUGAUAAAUGGAUAAAUGAAGGCAUUAUUUAUAGGACAAUGACAGCUAAUACAUUUUAAAAGAAAAAUGAGAUACAAGAUCAACAUUUGGCAAACACCAUAAUAAUUAUUUCUGGCAAGAAACAUCCAUGAAAGCUAAAAACUAAUGGAUGCAAAUUGAUGAGAAAGAUAAUAUUUAUAUAACCUCAAAGCAUCUCCUUCAUAAAAUACUUAUUAGUGACAAAGUGAAGAUGGUGACUCUACAAUGGAGGAACCUAGCAGACAGCAUCUUAACCAAGGGAUCAAGAUGGAACAAUUGUGUACUAUAAUGUUCAUUCUCAUAUCAGGCGCUAAGUACACAACAUCACUUUUGUGCUACUCUGCACAAAACCCAUAACUGAAAUCUAACUCUGAGGAAACAUCAGAUAAAAACAAAAUGAACAAUAUUCUUUGCAAUAAGUGAUCUGUGCUCUUCAAAAUGUGAAGGUCAUAAAAGACAGUUCCAGGUCAAAAGAGA